GACAGAGGUGCCAAGCGUUAGGCGGAAUCACUGGCUUAAAGCGUGUGUAGGCGGACUGGUAAGUACCUUGUGAAAGCCACGGCUCAACCGUGGAGGUCAUUGGAAACUGGGGACUUGAGUACAGAAGAGAAGAGUGGAAUUCCACGUGUAGCGGUGAAAUGCGUAGAGAUGUGGAGGAACACCAGUGGCGAAGGCGACUCUUGGUCUGUAACUGACGCUGAGCGCGAAGCGUGGAGCGAUCCGG
rnacentral:rRNA from 1 species